rnacentral:tRNA from 1 species
GGGGCAAUAGCUCAGUUGGUUAGAGCAGCGGACUCAUAACCCGUCGGUCCCUGGUUCAAGUCCAGGUUGCCCCA